rnacentral:rRNA from 1 species
UUAAGCGACUAAGCGUACACGGUGGAUGCCCUGGCAGUCAGAGGCGAUGAAGGACGUGCUAAUCUGCGAAAAGCGUCGGUAAGGUGAUAUGAACCGUUAUAGCCGGCGAUGUCCGAAUGGGGAAACCCAGUGUGAUUCGUCACACUAUCGUUAACUGAAUACAUAGGUUAACGAGGCGAACCGGGGGAACUGAAACAUCUAAGUACCCCGAGGAAAAGAAAUCAACCGAGAUUCCCCCAGUAGCGGCGAGCGAACGGGGAGCAGCCCAGAGUCUGAAUCAGCUUGUGUGUUAGUGGAACGGUCUGGAAAGUCCGACGGUACAGGGUGAUAGUCCCGUACACCAAAAUGCACAGGCUGUGAACUCGAAGAGUAGGGCGGGACACGUGGUAUCCUGUCUGAAUAUGGGGGGACCAUCCUCCAAGGCUAAAUACUCCUGACUGACCGAUAGUGAACCAGUACCGUGAGGGAAAGGCGAAAAGAACCCCGGCGAGGGGAGUGAAAAAGAACCUGAAACCGUGUACGUACAAGCAGUGGGAGCACCUUCGGGUGUGACUGCGUACCUUUUGUAUAAUGGGUCAGCGACUUAUAUUCUGUAGCAAGGUUAACCGUAUAGGGGAGCCGCAGGGAAACCGAGUCUUAACUGGGCGUUAAGUUGCAGGGUAUAGACCCGAAACCCGGUGAUCUAGCCAUGGGCAGGUUGAAGGUUGGGUAACACUAACUGGAGGACCGAACCGACUAAUGUUGAAAAAUUAGCGGAUGACUUGUGGCUGGGGGUGAAAGGCCAAUCAAACCGGGAGAUAGCUGGUUCUCCCCGAAAGCUAUUUAGGUAGCGCCUCGUGAACUCAUCUUCGGGGGUAGAGCACUGUUUCGGCUAGGGGGUCAUCCCGACUUACCAACCCGAUGCAAACUACGAAUACCGAAGAAUGUUAUCACGGGAGACACACGGCGGGUGCUAACGUCCGUCGUGAAGAGGGAAACAACCCAGACCGCCAGCUAAGGUCCCAAAGUCAUGGUUAAGUGGGAAACGAUGUGGGAAGGCACAGACAGCCAGGAUGUUGGCUUAGAAGCAGCCAUCAUUUAAAGAAAGCGUAAUAGCUCACUGGUCGAGUCGGCCUGCGCGGAAGAUGUAACGGGGCUAAACCAUGCACCGAAGCUGCGGCAGCGACACUAUGUGUUGUUGGGUAGGGGAGCGUUCUGUAAGCCUGCGAAGGUGUGCUGUGAGGCAUGCUGGAGGUAUCAGAAGUGCGAAUGCUGACAUAAGUAACGAUAAAGCGGGUGAAAAGCCCGCUCGCCGGAAGACCAAGGGUUCCUGUCCAACGUUAAUCGGGGCAGGGUGAGUCGACCCCUAAGGCGAGGCCGAAAGGCGUAGUCGAUGGGAAACAGGUUAAUAUUCCUGUACUUGGUGUUACUGCGAAGGGGGGACGGAGAAGGCUAUGUUAGCCGGGCGACGGUUGUCCCGGUUUAAGCAUGUAGGCUGAUUGUCCAGGCAAAUCCGGAUAAUCAAGGCUGAGGUGUGAUGACGAGGCACUACGGUGCUGAAGUAACAAAUGCCCUGCUUCCAGGAAAAGCCUCUAAGCAUCAGGUAACAUUAAAUCGUACCCCAAACCGACACAGGUGGUCAGGUAGAGAAUACCAAGGCGCUUGAGAGAACUCGGGUGAAGGAACUAGGCAAAAUGGUGCCGUAACUUCGGGAGAAGGCACGCUGGUGUGUAGGUGAAGCCCCUGCGGGUGGAGCUGAGACCAGUCGAAGAUACCAGCUGGCUGCAACUGUUUAUUAAAAACACAGCACUGUGCAAACACGAAAGUGGACGUAUACGGUGUGACGCCUGCCCGGUGCCGGAAGGUUAAUUGAUGGGGUUAUCCGUAAGGAGAAGCUCUUGAUCGAAGCCCCGGUAAACGGCGGCCGUAACUAUAACGGUCCUAAGGUAGCGAAAUUCCUUGUCGGGUAAGUUCCGACCUGCACGAAUGGCGUAAUGAUGGCCAGGCUGUCUCCACCCGAGACUCAGUGAAAUUGAACUCGCUGUGAAGAUGCAGUGUACCCGCGGCAAGACGGAAAGACCCCGUGAACCUUUACUAUAGCUUGACACUGAACAUUGAGCCUUGAUGUGUAGGAUAGGUGGGAGGCUUUGAAGCGUGGACGCCAGUCUGCGUGGAGCCAACCUUGAAAUACCACCCUUUAAUGUUUGAUGUUCUAACGUUGGCCCCUUACCGGGGUUGCGGACAGUGUCUGGUGGGUAGUUUGACUGGGGCGGUCUCCUCCCAAAGCGUAACGGAGGAGCACGAAGGUUAGCUAAUCCUGGUCGGACAUCAGGAGGUUAGUGCAAUGGCAUAAGCUAGCUUGACUGCGAGCGUGACGGCGCGAGCAGGUGCGAAAGCAGGUCAUAGUGAUCCGGUGGUUCUGAAUGGAAGGGCCAUCGCUCAACGGAUAAAAGGUACUCCGGGGAUAACAGGCUGAUACCGCCCAAGAGUUCAUAUCGACGGCGGUGUUUGGCACCUCGAUGUCGGCUCAUCACAUCCUGGGGCUGAAGUAGGUCCCAAGGGUAUGGCUGUUCGCCAUUUAAAGUGGUACGCGAGCUGGGUUUAGAACGUCGUGAGACAGUUCGGUCCCUAUCUGCCGUGGGCGCUGGAGAAUUGAGGGGGGCUGCUCCUAGUACGAGAGGACCGGAGUGGACGCAUCACUGGUGUUCGGGUUGUCAUGCCAAUGGCACUGCCCGGUAGCUAAAUGCGGAAGAGAUAAGUGCUGAAAGCAUCUAAGCACGAAACUUGCCCCGAGAUGAGUUCUCCCUGAGACUUUAAGUCUCCUGAAGGAACGUUGAAGACGACGACGUUGAUAGGCCGGGUGUGUAAGCGCAGCGAUGCGUUGAGCUAACCGGUACUAAUGAACCGUGAGGCUUAACCUU